UGGAAUAACUGGGUCACGUUAUCGAUAGGAGGAUUUGAGGCAGGUAGUCACAGUGUGCGAUGGUGUCAUGUGGCUGAUGGUUAUAUGCAGCAUGGGAGAAUGCAGGAGUGUUGUAUGGCUGAUGUCCCCCUGUGCAGUAGGUAUGGUUCCAAAGGGCGACUGACAGUAUAUUCUGAUUCUCAGGUUGCUUGGUGGUUGAAUGAGAUCAACGGUCUUGCCAACUUUAUUGUAAGAACUGCAUUAAAGGCUGUAGGCUCAGUCCACAAGCUCGUCGCCCUCCACAGAAAUAAAGCUAGCAACAUGAGGCAGGGGACUGAGUGGCUGCGUGCAUCGUUGGAACAACGGCAGGUGCUGUUCCAGCCGCGCUGACUACAGAUGGAUUUGAUGAUUCAGACUGCCCCUUGUCCACCAACAAAAGCCUGCCGGGGAGGGUUGGACACAUCAUGCCUUUUGCUUUGCCCGGGUUAGCCCCUUUGUUCAGCUGAGUUAGAGGAGGAAAUGCGACAAAAUGUGAGGCGGGGAGAUAUUUUGGGGUUCUUUGCUAAAGGAGGGAGAAGAAUUGCUGAUCUUACGAGGAAACUUUGCUCUUUGAAGAUUUUAAUGCUAAUUUUGCAAAUUUGGAAAUCUUAGCUGGUUAGGCAAAAUUUCAACGGAAGUCCAAAGUUCUGGCACAGAACUGAAUCCCAGCCAGCCAGGCCUCAUGAUCUCCCUGCACGGUUUCAUGCAGCACAGUUCUCCAGGGCCUAGGAAGCUACUGGAGAGGUGAUGUGUUCACCAGAAACAAGCGACCAGGGACUAAAAGAACACACUGACCUCUGAGGUUCCUCAUCUUCUAGACUUUCCCACACGAUGUCCAACAAUCCCCAUUCUGCAAGAGGACUGCCAGGCCAGGUUAACCAGCAUCCCUAUUCCCUAAUGUUGCUUUUGCUUGUUUUCUGUCUGCUGGGUACCACUCAUCUCUCCUUGUAUGUUUGGAACUGAGCUGAGUUUUAUGCUGAAGCCCUAACGCAAUAGUUUCUGAAUAAAAUCUGUUUAUAUCCCCU